GUCUUGUUGGAGAUCCCUGUAUAUCUGAGGCCUUCUGUAGCUCUAACAGCCAUAACCAAGAGUGUGCGUCGAGGACUCUCAGCAGAACAACCUGGUUUAAUCAAGGCGGCCCCCUUCGGUGCUGCCUCAUCUGCAGGACAUCUCUCAACAUGCAAAGCUUUCUUUAUGGGAACUUUAGAGGAAUGGGCUGCGGCUACACUAACAGCUAGAUGGCUAGCAGAGAAAGUGUGUGAGCUUCCCUCUCUUCACCUGUUUGGGGAAAGUGCUGCUGCUUUCAGAACGCAGGCGUGAUGCAUGCAGAGCUUGGCAACUUUCACCAGCCGGAGCUGCCGGUAGCAUCGCCCCUUCCAAAUGAGAACAAAAUGUCUCAGAAUGGCACUGCUGCUCAUGUGAAUGGCAUGGCUUCUGUGAGAGCUGAAACGGAUAAACUUGCUAACAGAGCCAAGCUAGCAUUUACUGAGUGUUAUGCAUUUGCUGGAGAAUAAUAGACUCUGCAUUUUGUGAGGGAAACACAUUUUCUUGUAUGCCUGGAGAAUGCAUAUGUUCCCUGUCCUGAGAGGCAACUGAUGGACAACCUCUGGGCAUGGCUGAAGAAACCGCAACAGGAAGUGAGGGUUUCAAACUGAAACUAUUGAGCUUAACGCUCUGCAUCCUAUCCUGGCUUUGGCCCUCUGAAUUUCUCCCUGCUGCUGCCUUCCACCUUCCCCUGCUGUGCACCCUUCCUAGCUAACCUGCCUACCUUCAGUAGGAUCUCCAUGCUUUUUGGCUUACUGUCCUGCAUCAGUCCUGCCUCUUCUUGAUUACUCUAGUGAAGCAGCCCACACAACUAUCCAUCUUUUUGAGGCUUUGAGCAGUCUCCAGGCACUGUGUGGCUUUUAAAGGCAAAGAAGUCCCUCACAUCACAGGGAUGAUGCUCCAGCAGCCUCAUGUUAGCACAGAAGACCACCAGUGGGUCCUUCCUGACCUUGGGCCAAUAGUAGGAUUUAGCUACUGCUGCUGAGGGGAGGCAAAGGCUC
ensembl:lncRNA